GGGGAUGUAGCUCAAUGGUAGAGCACCUGGCUGGUAACCAUGAGGACCCGGAUGUGACCCCAGCCCUG
rnacentral:tRNA from 1 species